CCCCGAGACGCAGCGGUACCGGCAUGCACCGUGCCACCUCACCGGGGAAGGGAGGGGCGGGGCGGGGGGGGUGUACGCCGUGCGCUCACCGCACCGCCUCCCGCUGUCAGAAUGAAAACCGAGGUCCAGGAUUCUGUAGUGUCACCCAUCAGUCCGCAGAGAUCAACAGCACCUCAUUGUCAAAGAAAGGAACUGAAUACUUCCCUUCGUGGGUUCCAUGCACUGCAUGCAAGAAAAUCUCCAACUAUCCAGCUGCAAACGCCUACAAGAUCUUGCCACAUUUUCAGCCCAAUCAACUUUAGCAAGGGAAACCGUGGCACGUUUCAACAACCCAUUGCUAGGAUGAUUAAGAAAAUCCUUGCUCCGGCACCCAAUCCAUAACUUAUAAGUAGAUUUGUAAAGAGAGGACAAGGUCAGAGGGGUCACAGCUAGUGUAUAACACUUGUGAUAUUUGAUGUUCCAGAAAACGCUAGAACUAGGUGUCACCUACCUACUUUGGGUGCAGCUUCAGGGCACCUGCAACAGCCCAGACCUUUGCACCAGGUCCUUGCCCUGUGCCUUACCGGUUUGGAGUCUGUGCCACUGUGGGCAGUUUGGCACCAGUGUCUAACGGAGCAAGCAUGAAGCUGGCUCAGGUAUUUCUGCACGAUCUGCUGUGGUGCAGCUGUCCCCCAAGCUGCCAUGAACUUGGAGUGCACACCAGGCAGUUACUUUUCAGUGCCAUGGGAGGACGAACACAGCCCUUACCCUGGGAGAGCAGCAACCCCUGUCCUUGCCGUGUCACAGGCUGUGAUACUGAAAGACCCCACAGCAUCCCAUGAGUUUUCAUCCCAGAAAUCUGACCCGUGUUGGUUGGUUAGAGGGAACUUCUGCCAAGAGGCUCAAGGUAGGCGGAUGUUACCUCUUUAACAGGUACUGGGUUUCGAGGUUCAGCCUCAGCACUGGGAAUCCGGUCUUCCCGUGCACAACUGUACCUGGUUGUGCCCUUGCCCUCGCUGUGGAGCUGUGCCAGGCUGUAUCAGCCAAGGACCCAGCCUGCAGGUUCAGUUCCUGAACCUCCUGCUGAUUCACCCUUGGGUAAGGCACUUAACUGUUCUGUGCCAGCUGCUCCCCACCCAUGCCACUGUGACCAGGCCUCGCUGGGGUGUUGUAAGCGUUAGUCCACAGGAAUUCAGAAUGCUUUGAGAUGUGAAAGGUGUUAAGAAAAUAUGGAGUGUUAUUAACAAUUAUCAGAUCACUUACAAUAAUAUACGCACUGCUAAUGGCUCUUUUCUGUCCCUUCAAUGGUGCCUUGCUAUACUCAAUUACUUUUGGAUUGUUUUGUUACUCUUCAGAGAGAGUUUUUCUCUUUUUCUGCACAGCGUGUCUGCAUUGCAGCCAUUUCCUAGUGAGCUGUCCCCUUUUAAACCACGCUUUAAAGCCAGCUACAACCACUGCUUGGUGAGGCACAGCACAUCGACUCUUUAUAAUAUUUGAUGACUUUGCGUAGCAGUUGAAGACAGAAUGAAGAUGACACAAUUUAAUAAGUUUAAUAAACUGCCACUCAUCAGCUGAGACAACUGGCUGCAUGCAUGUUCUUGAAGCAAUUCAUGCUUUUUUAGUAAUUUGAUACAGUUUAAACAUUAGCAAAGGUGUUUUAAACAAACAUAUCUUACCUCACAAUUUGGGUGUGCAAAGAGCACACAUACAGAGUUACCGAGACUCAGCUGACAUGGGGUAAUUGUGUUCGCUCACACAACCUGUAUGCUACGACUGUGAACUUUCUUAUAAUGACUCACUCCAACUGAGUAUCUGCCCCAGCAUGUUCCAAGUUGAUUAAACUAGUUUGCAGGCCAUAAUUAUUUUCUAUAUCAUACUAUAAUGGAUUCACAUCAUAUUAAUUUUAACAUUGUAAGAAUUUGCUUCUGGGAACGGCCUUCUUGAAUUAAUCACUGACUCAUGAUUUACUGUAGGAGAUAAUAUCUAACCUACAAGAAGCAGAACAGGAAACUAUCUAUUUAAAAGAUGGCAAUGUCUGAUAAUUUAUGGCUAUAGACAAAGAGACAUCUGAGAAGAAAAAGGUGGACAGAUCCUGCAGUCUUUACGUGGGCAAAGUGUUCUCGCUCAAGCAAAAAGUUACUAGAGACUUUUGUCUAGUAACUGGAGGAUUUGCUUUUGAAGCACUGACAGCAGAAAACUGAUGAAUACUGGAGAAAAAAAAUUGAGCAAGAAACAAGAAAACAGGGUCCCAAGCUGUCCUUAAAGCCAUCUUCAGCUCUGGGACCAAACCCUACGUUAAAAUAAAGCCAGUUAAACCUUGUGACUGUUGUAGGCAUUUUACCAGCUUACUAUAGGAAACAUAACAAAAAGCAAGGGAAAAAGCAUCAGUCUUUUUGUGCUUAAAUCUUUAGUGCAAGUGUCUUCCUGCUACCUCCCCCCACUCUUGUGCUUGCACUGGCCUCUUCCACUUAGAUCACUGAAUUAGCCUCGACCAUUAGAUGUUUUCUCUAGCUACAGCCCAAUUAGAAAAAGUCAAUUUCAGCAGACAAUAAUAAAAAGCCUUAAAUCCCAGAGCAUGUUCCAGGGGGUAAAUCUUCAUCCUGGAAAGCUGAAGAACCUUUCCCUUUGUCCCAUUUCACUGUGAUCUAUUCUGUGACUUUGGGUAACUCGUAUAACCUUUGGCACCAUAGUUUUUUUGACUCUGCAAGGACAGCAGUUCUCACUUUGAGCGUGAGACUCCUUAGGAGCAGCAGAUGAAAUGUGUUUCUAUGUAUAUUUUUAAAAGAGCUGUAGUGUGCACCAGGGCAGUGGCUGCAGCAGGUAUCCGAGUGCUCCAUAAGAGCAGCGUGACUUGCUCCCCCAGGGAUUUUUGGCACCUCUGUCCAAGUUAAUUAUCUCGGGGACCGCUAGCAGCACACCGAGCUUGCUGCAAGCUGCAGGAGGGCACAAACACUCCAGCUGUUAUCUGCAGGCUUGAACGAACUGAAACACAGAUUCUUUGAGUCAUCCUUAGCUCAGAGCCAUCAGCCCACCCCGCAGUCCCAGUGGCAACAGCCACAACCACAUGUCCUUUUCUCUGUAGCACUUUCCAGGCUCUGCCAUGCAGAUGCCCCUUUGGCAUCCUGGCAGCGCCGCCUCAAAUUCUGUGCUCAGCUGGUGACUUGAACAAACCAGACACUUAGAGCUGACGUUGGAGGAGUCUGGAGACAGCAACUAAAUACACAAAGCCACAUUUUCUGCAAGAGUUUCAAGUCCUCGGCGUCUGUGUAAAUGCAACCUUUGCAUGCUGGGCCACAAAGGGACCUGCCUACAAUUGGUCACUACAGCAUCAACCAUACCCUCGUCAAGGUGUCUCCCACGGGAUCUCGCUUCACAUCAAAGACCGCCCACCUGACAGGGAGGCACAGAUUUACCCCAGAGCCUGCAACCUGUCAGCUACAUAAACCUACUGAGGAAGCAAAGAAAACUCCUUUCAGGCAGAAAUUCUGCUUGACUUUCUUGGCUCCGGCCAUCCCACCUUGUAAAGAUCCUCCUUCACCCGGGCAGUACAACCUUGUGGAUUACAAAGGCUCCCCAAAGCCCGACUGCUCAAGUGCUGUGUUCACCUCAAACACAGGGCGAUGGACGGAGCGCCUGUCACGGGCAGGGUUCCCUGGGCCAGGUAGAAGUAAGAAUUGUUCUGAAGUAUUUCUUACUACUCGAGGUAGCAAAACACAAAUGCGACAAAACAGCGCUAUUGCCCACACGGCAGAAAAAAAAUGAAGCACAGAAAUUAGCGGAGCUCACAUGCAAAGGCGAAUGGGCACCUAAAGACACACACCAUUUCUGAAAGGCGCUUAAUUCCAUAGCACAUGGCACGUAGGGCCUUUUGUGAGCAGGGGACAGUAGGUUUAUGAUGAGCAAGUGUCUAAAUCCUUCCAAGAUGAGAGCACAGUGUCUCCUGACACCUUUAGAUGGUCUCAUAUCAUCCACAGGGCCACACAGCAGCAGCGUGGCAGAAGCAGCACUGGAGUCCUGACCACCAGCUCUUUGUCCAGCUUGCUGGUCCAUAUUUUACAAUAUUAUUUUUAAAGGCAAGAUUGAAAAAACAACAUGUUUGCCAUGGAAAGGCCAUUAAAGCAUCACUGACUGUCAGCACAUUUGACAAACAGGUUCUGUGAGUUCUGGUGCGUGUGUAAAACUAUCACAUUAUUCUGAGCAGACAUUUCACCUGCAAUAUUCCUCUGUUUGAUUGGGAGAGAGGAGCACUUGCAGGGACGGGGGGGGCAAGGCGUGCCUUGUGACAGUAGAGAGCCUCCGCACCCCAGCUGGAGAGCGGCGUUGGAGCACCUCAGCAUGAUCUCAUGGCUUUUGUGCCCCUCCGACUGCCCUGUCCUCCACGGGCUUCACCAGUGCUUUCCUGACGUAAAGCUGAAUAAAAUGGGGGGAGAAACACAUCCUUCAGCUUGUAAUCAGGAAAUGCCUGGGGAAGCAGGAGGAGGGACCUACGAGGAAUGGGUUAAACACACCAUCCUGACUUACAGCCACCCCACCAGUCCCUCCAGCUCCUGCAGGCAGGGGUCACAGUCGUUCCUCAGCACCAAAGGGACAGCUCACGCAUGGAACAGCACCGAAUUGUGACCCUGGCGUUAGCGUGGGUAAGGGGGAGGCAGAUGCAGGGACAAAUCCUGCUGCAGCCUCCUUGCGCUGAGCAGACCGUUCCUGCGUGGCUGCAGAGCUGCCAUGGGGUGGAGGUGGAGCUCGGCUCAGCCUGGGCGGAUCGUGUCCCUCAGUGCCCGUUGGCUAAUUGUUGCCAGGUGCAAGUAACAUGAUUUUUUCAGUUAGUCAGACUCAUAUUUCUUGCCCUGUUUAUUUCUUCUAAGAUCCUGAAGUCCUUCUGGGAGGUCACUGAAAGGCUGGAAAGGCAGGCAAUAGCAACGCUGCUGUUCUAGUGUUUGAACUUACCCAGCUGCAGGUUUUGUACCAGCCACAGCAGCGAGAGAACAUGCUAGUGCCAUUAGUCUCUCCAGAGCCCUCGCGGCAGCACAGACGGGGUAAUGGGCUUUUCUGGAGCCGUGUCCAGAUCAUAUCCCAGACUUGCACCGCGCCGCGUCGACACGCCAGCUCCCUGAGCGCUGCUCUGCUGACUAAGCCAGGCUGGGAUCCCCAGCCAACGCAAAUCGGGCUGUUUCAGCUAAAGGAGCAGAGCCAGGCCAGUUGGUUCAUGCUGAAGGCCUGACCCACAGCUGUAAGGACGUUACCACAUCGUUUGAGAGGAAGGGAACGAGUGAGAAACACCUUCUGCAGAGGGGAGAGAAACGCCCCCCUCCAUUCUCAUCAGUCUGUCGUGCCAGUUUGAUUAGAAGCCCAUGCAACACCCUGUCAGCGUGCGAGGACAAAGGGACACCAGCACCACAGACGCAGCCAUCCACGCAGUCUGCACACUGUUGCUAUAACCCCUGCAUCUCCUUUCCGCUCUAGCCUGAAAAGAGGGGAAGAGAAUUCCACCGGAUCAGAACUCCCAGCCGUGAGAUUAGAGGCGACUCGAGCCCUUGGCCCACCAGAGCGCACAAUGCGUACAGAACUAUUCCGUACCAUACCACAGAGGAGAACUGCAGUGAGACAAAAUACUUCCCAAUUAAAUCAGUUGGUGGCUGAUACAAAGCAGCAGCUUUAUUAAAAGCUGAUUAUUCAGCAGCUGUUGAUGCGUGGGCUGCUUCGGAGCUGCACUCUCUGUGUUUCCAGCAGCUCUGGGUGAUCCCUUGCACAGGGGUCACAGUCAAAGGCACCAUCAAGACAACCCUCAACACACCAAAGUGAAACUGAAGGCUGUGCACACCAGGCGUUAGCGCUCCACUCCGGUUCUAUGGCCAAAGACAAUUUCCAGCCGAGGACACCAGGACGUUCGCACAGGCUGAGGGUUUUAGUACCCAUCUCACCGACCAGAAAUGUAGUUACACAAAUCCAAGGAACUACCCAAGGAAACGGGAGAGCAGGCAGAGCCCGGGGACCCUCACCGACUUCAUUAAAGCUUUCCACACUGCGGAACAGAUGCCGACAGUUUCAUGCUCCUCUGCCUUUGAUCCUUUCUGAUGCUCUGGUGCUGUGUUGGGUAUCUCCAAACACAACGCGUGGGUGUCCUAACAAAACACAGGAUGCUGUUUUUCCCUUUAUAGUGAUGGAGAACCACACCACACACCAAGAGCCUCAGCUGCUUGGCUGAUGAUGCAAGGAAUGAAUAAGCAUGAAUAAAGACAUAGAAACUGGGUGGUGGUUGUAGAAGUGAGGAGCACAGCCCCCACCCAGCACUGGGGAUACCAGAGCUCUUGCACAACCCAGCUCACGAGCUGCUGUGUUUCUGUUUCUUUUUUAUGCACCUCUGUCACUGCAGGCACUUACUCGCCCAGCGCACUCCGGAGGUAUUCCCUCAUCUACAGCGAUGGUAGGAAUGGCUCCCGGCGCUGUGAGCAGCGGAACGCGGGUGCCAGAGCAGGGUUCCUCGCACGGGACUUCCAUCAUGCUCUGCAAAGCACGCGCUAACAAUAAGAGCCUUGUCCUCAGCACGCUCCCUGAGAGCUCAGCAGCUAAUUAGCGCUACUUGGUACUGUAUUUUGGAAGACGAUCAUCAGCUAAAGUUGAUUUGUAAACUUCCAGUUUUGUAGAUGUUGAAUAAUUAAUACAAUUAACAGGCACUGCAAAAAAAAACCCCAGACUCCUCUUGGUGUUUCCAUCUGAGACACCAAAGAGAAAACCGGUGCUGGGGGCUGACCGUGCC